UACGUAGGUGGCAAGCGUUGUCCGGAUUUACUGGGCGUAAAGAGCGCGCAGGCGGUCGUUCAAGUCGCGUGUGAAAGCCCCCGGCUCAACUGGGGAGGGUCACGCGAUACUGAUCGACUGGAAGGCAGGAGAGGGUAGUGGAAUUCCCGGUGUAGUGGUGAAAUGCGUAGAUAUCGUAAGGAAGACCAGUGGCGAAGGCGAAUCUCUGGACAGUUACUGACACUGAGGCACGAAGGCCAGGGGAGCAAACGGG
rnacentral:rRNA from 1 species